rnacentral:rRNA from 1 species
UGGCGGCCGUAGCGCGGUGGUCCCACCUGACCCCAUGCCGAACUCAGAAGUGAAACGCCGUAGCGCCGAUGGUAGUGUGGGGUCUCCCCAUGUGAGAGUAGGGAACCGCCA